CCUACGGGGGGCAGCAGUGAGGAAUAUUGGUCAAUGGACGAGAGUCUGAACCAGCCAAGUAGCGUGAAGGAUGACUGCCCUAUGGGUUGUAAACUUCUUUUAUAUGGGAAUAAAAUGUUCCACGUGUGGGAUUUUGUAUGUACCAUAUGAAUAAGGAUCGGCUAACUCCGUGCCAGCAGCCGCGGUAAUACGGAGGAUCCGAGCGUUAUCCGGAUUUAUUGGGUUUAAAGGGAGCGUAGGUGGAUUGUUAAGUCAGUUGUGAAAGUUUGCGGCUCAACCGUAAAAUUGCAGUUGAAACUGGCAGUCUUGAGUACAGUAGAGGUGGGCGGAAUGCGUGGUGUAGCGGUGAAAUGCUUAGAUAUCACGAAGAACUCCGAUUGCGAAGGCAGUUCACUGGACUGCAACUGACGCUGAGGCUCGAAAGUGUGGGUAUCAAACAGGAUUAGAUACCCCAGUAGUC
rnacentral:rRNA from 1 species